rnacentral:rRNA from 1 species
CCUACGGGAGGCUGCAGUGAGGAAUAUUGGUCAAUGGGCGCGAGCCUGAACCAGCCAAGUCGCGUGAAGGAUGACUGCCCUACGGGUUGUAAACUUCUUUUGUCAGGGAGCAAUUGGGUCCACGCGUGGGCUUAGCGAGAGUACCUGAAGAAAAAGCAUCGGCAAACUCCGUCCCAGCAGCCGCGGUAAUACGGGGGAUGCGAGGGUUAUCCGGAUUUUUUGGGUUAAAAGGGUGCGUAGGCGGAAUAUCAAGUCGGCGGUAAAAAUUGGGGGCUCAACCCCGUCGUGCCGUUGAAACUGAUGUUCUUGAGUGGGUGAGAAGUAUGCGGAAUGCGUGGUGUAGCGGUGAAAUGCAUAGAUAUCACGCAGAACUCCGAUUGCGAAGGCAGCAUACCGGCGCCCAACUGACGCUGAAGCACGAAAGCGUGGGUAUCGAACAGGAUUAGAUACCCGAGUAGUC